rnacentral:tRNA from 1 species
GGAAGGCUGGUCCAGUGGUUAGGACGCUAGCCUGCAAAGCAGGUGACAAAGGUUCCAGUCCCUGCUCUGCCA